AUAUUCACGCCCUUUCCCCUUUCUAGUAUCUCUUCCAUUCUUCAACAAUGGAGUCAACAUCUUUCUUCGAUCUCUUCCCUCACUUCCCACUCUUCUCUUACACGACACGGAUAUCACUCUUCCACCCCAGUCUUUUGGUUCCCAAAAAAUCAUAUUCUUUCAAUUGUGCUUUUCUCACCAAUUGAUUGAUACUUUGAUAGUGAAUCGAUUCAUUGGGUUUCUUUUUUCAUGGAAAUUGUUCGAAUUCAGUCAAAUUUGUUCUCAUAAUUUGUUUAAUUUGCAAAGUUGGAUGGUUAUUCACAUACUUUCAGAGAAUUUAACUGUUUUGAUGAUAGGAUUCGGAUUGCACAAUAAAGGGUAGAAAGUAAAAACCACAUUUUCAAAGAUGUCUGGGUUUGAGGGUGUAAUUAAUUGUUUAUGUUCCCCGGUUGCAAAGUCAAUUUUACCAAGUGGACCUUCGCAGCCUCAAGUCUAAGGUGCUGGAUUCGCCAAUUGCCGCCGGCUUAUGCAAAAAUUAAGGGUAUCAAUGGAAUGUAUACGGAGAAUGAAUUGAGAGCUGCAUUGGAGGAUACGUAUUCUGACUUGACACAUGAGAUUGAUUUUGAAUCUUUCCUAAGGGUACAUGACAUAUGAUGAGGCAACUUUAUGAAUACUCAUAAGAGAGCACUCAUACAUGUAUAAAUCAAAGAUAUAUUUAAGAAGGAUGUGUUGUUUCACUUCAUUUUUGUACUGAUUAUAAUCUCUUGCAAUGUCAAAAUCCAUAUAUUAAUGUUACUUCGCUUUUUACAUU